UGAUUUGGAAGAUGGUCUCUUCAUUUCUGGCCAUUUUCGACGCUGAAACUGCCUGAGUUUUCAAGUUUCAAAAGGAGAAUGAAUGUUAACCAUCACCAAGAAAGAAAGUCAUCCCCAAAGAACUAUACAGAGAAGGACACCUGUCACUGUUGGAUGCCAGUAGCACCCCAUCACUUCCAAUUGGGACAGCCAAAAAAAAUCUCUCCAGAUGUUGCCAAGUGCCCUCUUGGGAACAAGAUGCCUCCGGCUGAGCCUGUUCUAUGCUGGCUGCCCAGAAAGGAGAGAUGGAGAGUGUCGUGUUGGAAGGAGAUUCGACUGGAGACCCCAGAUCAGCCAUGUGACUGCUUUCCCAUUCAUCAUAAGGACUGGCCACUGGCCCUGCGCACAGGGCUGGUGCGACGUUAUAAGCCAGCUAUUUGAGGUUCCGCUGCCCUCGGGUGAGGACUUUGUACCAGGGCUGACUCAGAUAUCAGCUUAGUUUCUUGCAUUUUCCUUUCCUCUAAGCAUUAAUGGGACUAGUGGUGGGGGAAGCUUAAUUGAAUCUCAAGUUCUUGUAUUUAAAGAUAACCUAUUGUGCCACAUAUUGAAGCCAAGAGAUGCUAGCUGUGUAAUUCAGUCUGGAAACUGAUCAUUGCAUUCAGCUGAGAAAGUCAGCUUAGUAGUUAUUGAUCAGCUCAUGAGAUAUAACAGGACAUCAGCUUGGAAGCAUUGUUUGAGGCAGGAUUGGGUCAUUACAGAGAGAGUUUGUCUCUGUGACAAAAGGUGUCUGUUGCCUGGCUGGACAGUCCAAGGGAGCCUAGGAGGGGACACUGGACCCAUAUCUCUAAUUAGACUGCAGUGAGCUAUCACUUUGCCUCAAAAAGGAAGAGUUCUGCUACAUGGAUGACCCUUGACCGAUGUCAAGCCGAAUGAGAAAAGGCAGUUACACAAAGACAGUGCCUUUUGGUAGAGACAGAGUAGAAGCGUGGCUGCAGGGACUGGGAAUGGGAGGUAGUAUUUAAUGGAGACAGAACUAAACAAGUUCUGGAAAUUUGUUUACAACAAUGUGAAUGUAUUUAACAUCAUUGAAGUAGAUACUUAAAUGGUUAAGAUGGCAAAUUUUAUGUGCUUUUUACUACAAGUAAUAAAAACCCCCAAAUCUCGA